AUCCAGAUGACGAAUUCCAGAUAGGACGAAAUUCACGUCCUGGAU
rfam:Schistosoma mattheei strain Denwood, Zambia genome assembly, scaffold: SMTD_scaffold0010642